rnacentral:lncRNA from 1 species
UUUUUUUUUUUUUUUUUUAAAUAGUUGGAUUAUUUUUUUUUUUAAGAAAUAAAUUUUGAAAAAUUUUUGCAUCAUUAUUACCACUUGUACAAUGUGCAGAGACUCUGGGAGGAAUAUCAGGGUAUUUAAGACAAGAUUACUGUUAAGAUUAAUUUAAUUGCAAGGUGGAAUGCUUAUGUCUCUGAGAUUCUUAAAUAAACGAUGUGAGUGAUUCCCAGUGCCAUGGUAUAAUUUCAAUCUUUUAUAAGCAUUGAGUGAUGACACAUGAACAGAACGCUUUCAGAGGAAGCAAACCCAGAAGGCUUCAGGUAGGCAUUGGGAAGUUGAAUUGAGGUGGUCUUUGCCUUGGAAACAAGUACGUUGCUGCAAUGCAAAGAAGGAAGUAGGAAGCAACACUUUUUUUCCCCUUUUUCUUUUACAUUUAACAGUGUGUUAGAGCCCAGUAUUUAGCAGAGUAUAGAUAGUCGUAGGAAGAGCUAGCCCCGGAUAGGAGUCAGGAGACCUGGGUGUGGUUGUCGUGGUUCAGCCUGGGAGUCAUCAGGCUUAAGCAAGUGGUCCUUCUGUAGGCAAGGGACUGAACCAAAGUGUAUUGUUAGUCCCUUCCAGCUCCAGGGUCCCUUAUUCUAUUAAAUACUGCUUGAUAUUAUACAAGGGUACUUGUUUCAAAGCAUAUUUUGUCCCAUUACAAUUAGCAUAAGUCAAGUUUACAAAACAAGUGCAAGGUUAAAUUAUCUAGCAGAGUCUCUUUGGUUGAAACCUAGUUGCUAUUUUAGUUGACAUUUAUACUGUUCAUCAACAGUUGGGAAAUAAAGAUACUGUCCAUUUUAAAUCUUAAAAUUCAUAUUUAUUGUAUACCAGGUGCGUGGUCUAUUCUAGAUCCUUAUUAAUGAACAGUUUGCCUUUCAAAUAUUUUCUCAGUAAUUCAAAUGAAAUGCUAUCUGUAUUUUCCAAUAGGUGUGGUGGUUUUUUCUCUAGACUAUAAGCACACAUUUUUAUUUCACUCAGCAAUGAUUCAAUAAAUAUUUAUGAAUACUUAUAAAUAUCAAGGAGUGCGCUUGCAAGUUCCACUGGAUAUAAAAAUUAAAAAAAAAAAAAAGUUAAAACUUAGUCUCCUCUCUUAAGAAGAUUCCAGUCCCUUGGGGGAGUCAGACAUAAACCGACCAAUUACAUUUCAGUAUAUUGAAGUUUAAACCAAGAAUAUUGGAAAGUACAGAAGAGAAAACAUUAGCUUCCUGGAUAGAAGGCUUCAAUAGAUAAGGAAACACUUAAACUAGUGUCUUAAAAGAGAGAAGGCAAAAUGGCAGCCCUCAGGCUAACCCAGCCUGUUGCUGAGAUUAUGUUGGGUAGCAUCUGGCGUCAUGACCUCCACAGGGUGAGAGUCUCAUCUGUGACAAGAGGUUAUCUGAUUCUUACACAGUGAGUGAAAUUAAGAAAUNGAAGGCUUCAAUAGAUAAGGAAACACUUAAACUAUGAGUGAAAUUAAGAAAUAAUGCAAAGCGCUUAACAUAUUGCCUAGAACAGAGUAGGUGAUCCGUAAAAAGUAGCUGUCAUUUGUAUUAUCAUCCAGACCUGUUGAACUAUAUGCAUUGCUAGUUACUGGUCCAUAUUCUAAAUAUCCGGUAUGCUUUUUCUUCAUAGCUUUAUAAUGUCUGUAGUUAAGUAGUCCUCUCUGCUUUUACCAUCUGCCUUCCCUACUAGACUGCGAACUUGAUGAGGGCAGGGAAUGAAAUUAUUGGUAAUCGUAUUCCUAAUAUCUAGGAGUAGCUGUCAGAGUGCCUACCUCAACAGAGAUGUGUAAUUAAUAUUUGUUCAAAUGAUAUCGUAGGUUGGAAAACACUAGUAAGGAGUGGUUUAUCAGUAGGAAGAUGCAAUAUCAAAUUGUAUUUUAAAAAAUUAGGAGUUCCCUGGUGGCCUAGUGAUUGGGGAUCUGAUGUUGUCACUACAGCACUGUGGGUCACUGCUAAGGUACGGGUGAUACUUUCCACAGGCCACGGAUGCAGCCAAAACAAUGUGAAUACUCUAACUGCAGGGCAUCAAUUUCUUUGUUUUUUUCACAGCCAAAGAAGGCACCCAGAACUCCUGGAGGUGUAGGUCCUCCAUCUGGAACUCAAGUGCAGCAUGGCUCUCAUUUUUCUCUCUCAACCCUCCAUUACUCUUCUCCGUACAUCAGCCUCAAAGAGAGUAGUCCAUGGAUGCCCAGGGAAUAUAAUGUGAUUUUUUGGGGGGUACUUUUGACACAAAGAUGUAGAUUUGAUUCAUUCUCACCUCCCCAUAGCCAUAACCCUUAACAUUUUCUAAGGCCCUCUCCUUCAACCCAUCUGCCAUGUCUCAUGGAAAGUGUUUUGGAGGAGCCAGUUCAAGUCCCUCGAGACUUCAUUACUUUCCAAAGCCAUGAUGAAGCAUUAUUCUGAAUAAAAUUAAGUUCUCCUUCUUCCAAUUAACAGCAGAUGAUGAAAGUGCCUGCCAGUUCUGUUGCCUUUCAGCUGGGUGUUUUUCUCUUGCUUGGUCAUUUGUAAAAUGUGAGCCCUCCUAAUGGGGACCUAGUUAGUCACUUGAAUUAAUGAGUUUCAGCUGAAUGAAUACUGCCUCGCAUACUGUGGGUGUUCAAUAACAGUCAACAGCAAUUUAUAUGCUGACUUCACGUGCUCCCCUUGAGGUGUUGGCCAAAAUCAAUGUAUUGUGGCUUUCCUACCAGAUUUGACUUGAAGAAGAAAGAUCAACUUUCCAAAUAUGGAGCCCAGACUAUAAAGUGGCAUUAGAGGCUCUUCUCUGAAAGGAUCUGAAAAAAAAUUCUGAAAAAAAAACUCUGAAAAAACUUUUGGGAUAAAGUUCUUUCUGUGUAUUCCUAACAAGUAGAAAGUAGACAAGAGCUUCAAGCAUACCACUAUAAAUCCUUGAUGCUUAGGUUCUUUCUCCCAGAAGAAUGCUUGGCACAGAGUAGGCUCUUAUCAAAAUAAUAGCUAAAAAUUAAUAGGAAUAUGUCACAAAUAAUAUAUUAGAGCACAACCUACUUCCUGGUACUCAGUAGGCACUCAGUAACUAUUGACAUAAUUAAUUUUAAAUGAAAACGGAAUAAAAAUUAGCAUAAGUUAAUACAGGGAGGAAAUCUUCUGGAUUUAAACUCAAGAAGAUUAAGUGCAAAAAAAUUACUGAUCAGGAAAGAGUUAUUUCACAGGAUUAAAGAGAUGAAAUUAAAAAAAAAAGAGUGAUGUUUGAAUUCUAGUGUAGGAUAUGGUGCCUAAUGCCUUAUGGCACAUAUUUGCAUGUUGAAGCUUUUAGUUAGAAGGAAUUACAGUUCCACUGAGAUCCUUCUAACUCUGGACUGAAAGCCUUGGGGAAAAAAAAGUCAAUAUUAUGUGUUUGUUAAAUUGUAACCUUUGUGGAAAAUCAAUACUAUGUAUGCUGAGAAAAAUACUUGACAUAUUUGACACGUCAACUGAAUUAUGGAAACUUCUCGUGCCAAAGGCUAAGCUCAGUAAUUUAUUUAAUCACAUUUAUUAAGUGAACUACUUGGUUGUAACAGUAUUUAAUACUGAUUUCCACGUGCACUCCUUGCCUGGGUCUCUAACUCUUUCCUGAGCUCUGCUAUCUUCUAAGCUCCCCUUGACUUAACAUUUCAUGGGCAGAAGCAGCAUCUUGUUCACAACCAACUCAGUGUUUGUUUACUUUUAAAGCAUUUUAGUUACAUAGAAUGGUAAUGAGAGAUGGAAGUUCUAGCAAUAUAAGCACUGAGACUCUUGUCUAGGUUUCCACUGAGUAGGUAUAUAAAACAGUAACAGAAAUACGAAAGCAUUCAAAGUCAAUAUCCCUCACCCCACUGUGGAAGUGGCAACAGCGUGGUACAGAUCUGGGAGGAAUCUGGAGUUGCUGGAUCAGGCCCUGAGGCUAGAACGUGCAGAGAGAGAGAGAAACAUAGUGUGUGUGCUUGGGGAGGGGGGGGUGUUUGAAGUAAAGGAAGCUAGAAAUGCACGUUAAAACAGUUACAUGUCAGGCAAGGAGUCUACAAUAUAUGCUGUAAUUAAAGGGGGCCAGGUAAGGAUGUUAGCAGAGCAGCGACUGGUUUAGAGUUUAAUUUUCUUUUUAAGUAAAGAAAAAAGGCGUCUGAUCGCUCCUUUUUUAGAAGAAAAAAAGUGGCAAAUAUGAAGGCAUUGCAAUGUUCGAGAAUCAUGGGUAUUAUAUCCAUCCAGAAUCUACUGAGGGUGAGUUUCCGGUGUGCCUCAAUGCAUUACGAACCUGACUUGUAUCCAAGAGAAUUCAAGUUCGCUCCCUGGCCUCACUCAGUGGGUUAAGGAUCCAGCAUUACCAGAGGUCAAAGAAGUGGCUGGGAUCCCGUGUGGCUGUGGCUGUGCCAAAGGCCUGGGGCUACAGCUCCAAUUCGACCCCUAGCGUGGGAACUUCCGUAGACCCCCACCAAAUCAAAAAACAAAACAAAGCAAAAACAAAUUCUACUGAGGAAAGAAUUCUUGCUUUAUAACCUUUCUGAAUCAAGUUCACUCAGAUAUCACAGCGUUGCGCUUUGAAUUUAAAGAUGCUUAGGUCGCCACCUUGUGGCUGAAGGAGGAUCCUGCAUAUAAGGCAUAUUUGAGAAAUAGACCAACCCCAAACCAGUUAGGGAACUAAAAGUGUUCAAAUUUAUCGCAAAUAUUUGAGAUAAAGAAGAAGCAAAAAAAAAAAAAA